CACACAGUGACUUAUCACAACACAAUGGCACAUUUUUUAAAGGGGUGGGGGGAGACAAUAUUUAACAGUAAAUAUCUCACCUGCCUGCAGAAUUAGCAAUAUGCAAAUCUACCCGAAUAUGCAAAUGAACCAGUCUUGCAAUUCAGGUAGUGCAUAUUGCUGUUGCUACCAACAGAGGGCACUAGACAAGCUCCAUAGCCAAAUCCACCUAGUUGGUAGCAAACCUCAGCAAUACAAGAGAGCAGGCAAUACAUUACACAGUACACACACACACUAUAAACAAUUA